rnacentral:rRNA from 1 species
CAGCAGUAGCCGCGGGAAUACAGAGGGUGCGAGCGUUAAUCGGAAUUACUGGGCGUAAAGCGUGCGCAGGCGGUUAUAUAAGACAGAUGUGAAAUCCCCGGGCUCAACCUGGGAACUGCAUUUGUGACUGUAUAGCUAGAGUACGGCAGAGGGGGAUGGAAUUCCGCGUGUAGCAGUGAAAUGCGUAGAUAUGCGGAGGAACACCGAUGGCGAAGGCAAUCCCCUGGGCCUGUACUGACGCUCAUGCACGAAAGCGUGGGGAGCAAACAGGAUUAGAUACCCGCGUAGUCCCUGUCUCUUAUAC